rnacentral:rRNA from 1 species
AACGUAGGACACAAGCGUUAUCCGGAAUUACUGGGCGUAAAGGGCGCGUAGGCGGCCACCGCAAGUCGACUGUGAAAUCUCCGGGCUUAACCCGGAAAGGUCAGCCGAUACUGCGGGGCUAGAGUGCAGAGGGGGCAACUGGAAUUCUCGGUGUAGCGGUGAAAUGCGUAGAUAUCGAGAGGAACACCUGCGGCGAAGGCGGGUUGCUGGGCUGACACUGACGCUGAGGCGCGAAAGCUAGGGGAGCGAACGGG